GCCUGAGGCAGUGGGUGUCUGCAGUCCCAGGGGCUGGGGAGGCUGAGGUGAGAGGAUCCCUUGAGCCCAGGAGUUCACUGUGCCAAUUGGGUACCUGCACUAAAUUAGGCAUCAAUACAGUGACCUCCUGGGAGGGAGAGUCCUGGCGGGGCACCACCAGGUUACCUAAGGAAGGGUAAACUGGCCCAGAUCAGGAACUGAGCAGGUCAAAACUCCCAAGUAAAUCAGUAGUAGGAUCACACCUGUGAAUAGCCACAGUACUCCAGCCUAGGCAACAUAGCAAGGCUCUGUCUCU
rnacentral:SRP_RNA from 1 species